GCACACAAGCGCUCGCGAUAUUUUCGAGAGUAUUAAAACAAAAUCAUCCGCGCCCACCGGAUUUUAUCGAUUUCCCUAUCGCGACGCUAGACGCAUUUCAUUAACUUUAAAUUUUUAAUACGGCUUCGCAGACUCCGCAAGAUCGGCCUCGUGAAAACAUAUAUCUCUGGGCUUAUUUAUAAAUUGUCUAUUAUUAGCAUUCGAUUCUCCUAUAAGGUACUAAUAUAUGAACAGUACAUUUGGAAAGCUAUUAAUUACAGAUAUAUCUGCAAAAUUUAAAUUGCCAUAUAAUACUCUCCAGAAAAAUUACCGCCAUUUAGCACUGACAUUUGGAAGUACCGAUUGUCAGAAGAAGAUCGCAGUGAGAGCCGGUCUUGUCACAAAAUCAAAACAAAUGUAGUUAACCUCAACCAAUUUUUAUCGCAGAUAAACAGAUGAAGUUUAUUUUGAUAUUUUGGACGAAGGCGAAAAUAACAACGUUAUUUUGGGAAAUUUGGUAUGUCAGCAUGGAUUUUGUUCUGAAAAAGAGAAACUAGGUUUCUUAACGGGUGAACUGCCUGUUGAAACGCAGAUCUCUAUUAUUUCUCGAAUGUUCAGAUUUAUAGCGCGAUGGAGAACACUAAUUCCGGACGAAAAACCGGAUAAGAUUACUUUGGAUGAUUUGUAUAAUUUGGAAAAUUUGAAUUUAAAUCUGUUUCCCUCAUAUGGGGAGAUCAAGACAUUUUCUGCAGAGGAGAGAAGGGAUAAAAUAAAAGAAUUUCAAUAUGAAUUGCAGCUUAUUAAAGUUCAGCAGGAUACCAUAGAUGAAUCGAGCAGGCAGCAUGAAUUUAACACAAUAAAUCUACAUGAUUCAUUACAAGAUUUAGGGCAGUGUCUUCGCCACAUUGAUAAAAAUCUUCAAUCGUUAAUUAAGAAACCAACCAACGGCUCAGAUUGUGAAGUAAAUUAUGAAAUAGAUCCUAAUUCUGGAGAACUAUUUCGUAAUUGUUGUGAUCACAUUAAACUAAUUUCACAGUAUGUUCGGGAUGUUAAGACGAUUUGUGACUUUUCUGGAGAUCAGAAUCAGUUAAAGGAAAUUGAUGAUUGUGUUCAAAUGAUACAGGGUAUCACAACGCAAAUUUGCAGGCUCAAUAUGUCCACAG